CCGCGGCUGGCUGCCCACGGACGCCAUGUACCGGGUCCGGUCCUCCGUGACGGCGCGGGCCGCGAACCUCGGGGGCUGGGCCUGGGGCUGCGGGCGGCGUGGAGUCCACCAGCGCGCCAGGCUGCCGCCGCUCGGCCACGGCUGGGUCGGAGGCCUCGGGGAGGGGAAGGGGCUGGAGCUCGGGGUGAAGCUGGCGGGCGGGCUGAGGGGCGCGGCCCCCGCACCGCCUCCCGCAGCCCCCGACCCCGAGGCGUCGCCUCAGGCCGAGGCACCGCGGCAGCCCGAGCAGUCCCUCGCCCCGUGGGCUCCGCAGACCCCGACGCCGCCCCUCUCCAAGCGCUUCGCCAAGGCCAUCAAGAACAGCCGCGACCUGCUGCACAGGAUCAAGGAUGAGGUCGGCGCACCGGGCAUAGUGGUUGGAGUUUCUGUGGAUGGAAAAGAAGUCUGGUCAGAAGGUUUAGGUUACGCUGAUGUUGAGAACCGUGUACCAUGUAAACCAGAGACGGUUAUGAGAAUUGCCAGCAUCAGCAAAAGUCUCACCAUGGUUGCUCUUGCCAAAUUGUGGGAAGCAGGAAAACUGGAUCUUGAUAUUCCAGUACAAUAUUAUGUUCCUGAGUUUCCAGAAAAGGAAUAUGAAGGUGAAAAGGUUUCUGUCACAACAAGAUUACUGAUUUCCCAUUUAAGUGGAAUUCGUCACUAUGAAAAAGACAUGAAAAAGGUGAAAGAGGAGAAAGCUUAUAAAGCCUUGAAGAUGAUGAAAGAGACAAUGGAAUUCGACCAAGAGAAACAGUUGAGAGAGAAAGGAGGCAAAAGUAAUGAAAAGAAUGACUUCGCUAAAGCUCAGAUAGAGCAGGAUAAUGAAGCCAAAGGCCGGAAUUCAAAGCCUGGCAAGAAAAAGAAUGAUUUUGAACAAGGCGAAUUAUAUUUGAAAGAAAAGUUUGAAAAUUCAAUUGAAUCCUUAAGAUUAUUUAAAAAUGAUCCUUUGUUCUUUAAACCUGGUGAGUGUUAAUUUCUUCUCUUAACAAAGUUGUCAUUAUUGAAGUAUUAAUUUUCACUAAAUCCAGAAGAUAGAUGAGGUUGAUGAUUGUGACUUGGGUUUGAUUGCCAGUCCAACGCUUGUCUUGCAGUUCUAACAAAGCCUCAGUUAUUUAGAUUUAGCCUCAUUUAAGACUACCCAGGCAUUUAGCUGGUUCUCAGUAUCAAGACGUUCAUGGAAAAAUUAUGGAGAAAUAUUGGAGUAAUCGUCCUCCAAAUAAAACCUAGACCAAAGUGGACAUGAUAAAGUAUUGCUAAUAUUUUAGUGUUUAGUUAGAACUUACAUCGCUCAACUUAUUUUGUGCCUUUUUAAAGAAAUCAGUGUUCAUCAGCUUUGUUUUAUUUCCCAAAAAGCUAAUCUACAGAAAUAAUUAACUUUGUUUUUGUGUGUGUGUACAUAUGUAUAUAGGUAUAGUGCAUACUGAAAACACUUGGUAUACAAUAGGUUAAUGUACUUUUAUUCCAUUUUCAUUUUUUAAAACUUGUUUUUUUACCAUGAAUGGAUAUGACAUAGGGAUAAUUAACAAAGGCAAAUAAAAUGUAAGCAUGGACUUUGCCUUAAAAAGUAAGGUUCCCACCCGUUUUUAGUACAGAUAAUACAUUCUAAAGUUUCUAGAGUACAAAAUGAUUUAAAAGUAUGUAUUUGAAACAAUAUAUGUAUUUCAAUAUGUAUUUGAAACAAGGUUUUUAUGUAUUUUAUUAAAAUAAGAACUAAUACACCUAUUCAUGCCUUAAACAACAGUUAGUAGGUAUAUUAAGAACAAAAUAGUUGACUCAAGAAAUUAAAUUUGCUUUUCUUCACCUUCCUGUUUUGUUGCCAGUUUGAAAGAUUUUGUUUUAUUUUGAGGUAGGAUUUAUUUGCUUAUUUCAUAAUCAUAAAAGAGGCAGACCACAUGAAAUUUUAAAAUACUGAUCAUUAUUUUAUUACCUUUGUGUCAGGGACAUGGAAUAGGCAGGGCCAUUGCAAAGUUGACAAAAUCUGUUGCUAUAUUAUCCAUGACCUUUUUUCUAAAUGCUGAAUUAAAAUAUUCUAAUUUUAAAGGUAUGACAGUUUUCUGUGGGAAAAUAUUUCACAUAUUUUUAAAUAAUAAUCAAGCAUUUUCUUUUUUUUCCCCCCUUUGCAAUGAUGUCUCAAGGUAGUCAGUUUUUGUAUUCAACUUUUGGGUAUACCCUACUGGCAGCCAUAGUAGAAAGAGCUUCAGGAUGUAAAUAUUUGGACUAUAUGCAGAAAAUAUUCCAUGACUUGGAUAUGCUGACAACUGUGCAGGAAGAGAAUGAGCCAGUGAUUUACAAUAGAGCAAGCUUCUGCUUCCAUUGUCAACAUCUUCUGACCCUGACUCUCCUGCCUCUUUCUGAUGUGAUUGCAUUGGGCCCACCCAGAUCAUCCAAGUUCCUUAACUACACUGUGAUUGUUACUGCAUCAAGUAAGUACAGGCAUACCUCAUUUUAUUGCAUUUUGCAGAUACUGUGUUUUUUACAAACUGAAGGUUUGUGGCAACCCUCCAUCAAGCAAGUCUGUUGCACCACUUUUCCAACAGCAAGUGCUCACUUUGUGUCUCUGUGUCACGUUUUGGUAAUUCUCGCAAUAUUUCAAACUUUUUCAUCAUUUAUCUCUUACGGUGAUCUGUGAUCAGUGGUAUUUGAUGUUACUGUUACAAUUGUUUUGGGGCGCCAUGAACCACGCCCAUAUAAGACAGUGAACUUAAUCGAUAAACGUGUGUGUUCUGACUGCUCCACCAACUGGCUGUUCCUCCAUCUCUUUCCCUCUCUGCGGGCCUCCCUAUUCCCUGA